rnacentral:rRNA from 1 species
GGUGUCGGCUUAAGUGCCAUAACGAGCGCAACCCUUUUCCAGAGUUACCAUCAGGUUAUGCUGGGGACUCUCUGGAUACUGCCAUCGUAAGAUGUGAGGAAGGUGGGGAUGACGUCAAAUCAGCACGGCCCUUACGUCCGGGGCUACACACGUGUUACAAUGGGGGGUACAGAGGGAAGCUACCGGGCGACCGGAUGCGGAUCCCGAAAACCUCUCUCAGUUCGGACUGGAGUCUGCAACCCGACUCCACGAAGCUGGAUUCGCUAGUAAUCGCGCAUCAGCCAUGGCGCGGUGAAUACGUUCCCGGGCCUUGUACACACCGCCGUCGACGCGGCCG